UACGUAGGGUGCGAGCGUUGUCCGGAAUUAUUGGGCGUAAAGAGCUUGUAGGCGGUUUGUCGCGUCUGCUGUGAAAAUCCGGGGCUCAACCCCGGACUUGCAGUGGGUACGGGCAGACUAGAGUGUGGUAGGGGGAGACUGGAAUUCCUGGUGUAGCGGUGGAAUGCGCAGAUAUCAGGAGGAACACCAAUAGCGAAGGCAGCUCGCUGGGACGUUACUGACACUGAGGCGCGAAAGCGUGGGGAGCGAACAGG
rnacentral:rRNA from 1 species